UUGAAGUCACGCUCUUUUUCUUUGGAUUUCAUUUUCACUCAAAUUUUCAUAGGCCUCCAAAAGGCUAUAAAUAGCCCUACCAUGAAAUUUCAAGUUACUUUUUGGCGGCUAUGUUAUUAUUAUGUUAAUUCUUGUGAGAAAAGAAGAAAUCUACAAAGCUUGCUUGAUUCAUGAUCAAUUUAUGCAUCUUCAAAAGCUUCAAAGAGUUGAUGAUUUAGGGCUUGUAGAAGUCAUGGCCAGUUUCGACAUGGCCGGGCUGGUUUUUCAGAUGCCGAGUUCCAGUGAAACCGAGGACUCAGGCAGCCAGAUCCCCGCGGCAACCGAGCCGAGCUGCUCCUCCUCAAUUGAAGAUGCAGAAGAUUCAUCGUGGUGGUUGGGGAUGAAGAGCUUAAGGAAUUUCUCUUUGAUGACUUAUUUGCCUCAAAAGAUAAAUCAGGAACUUCCUUUCUGCGCCUCUUCCUUUUUCUUGUAAGCCCAUUGUCCUUUCAUUACCUGUACCUGUUUUUCACACUAUCUGUAGGAGAUGGCUUUGUCCAGUUCCACUCUAUAUAUCUUUUGCCAAUG